UACGAAGGGGGCUAGCGUUGCUCGGAAUCACUGGGCGUAAAGCGCACGUAGGCGGCUUCUUAAGUCGGUGGUGAAAUCCUGGAGCUCAACUCCAGAACUGCCUUCGAUACUGGGAAGCUCGAGUCCGGGAGAGGUGAGUGGAACUGCGAGUGUAGAGGUGAAAUUCGUAGAUAUUCGCAAGAACACCAGUGGCGAAGGCGGCUCACUGGCCCCGAUACUGACGCUGAGGCACGAAAGCGUGGGGAAGCAAACAGGG
rnacentral:rRNA from 1 species